rfam:Gossypium hirsutum cultivar TM-1 chromosome 12, whole genome shotgun sequence
AUUCUGUGAUUAGGGCACUUUCGUAAUAAUUCCUUGUACCUUUCUCAUGCCUCAUAUAAUGACUCGUCAUUCAAUUUUUGGAAAAUGGUAAUCUCGUUCCUCAACUU